UACGGGAGGCAGCAGUGGGGAAUAUUGCACAAUGGGCGAAAGCCUGAUGCAGCUAUGCCGCGUGUAUGAAGAAGGCCUUAGGGUUGUAAAGUACUUUCAUCGGGGAGGAAAAACAAAACUAAUAAUUUUAUUUCUUGACGUUACCCGAAAAAGAAGCACCGGCUAACUCCGUGCCAGCAGCCGCGGUAAUACGGAGGGUGCUAGCGUUAAUCAGAAUUACUGGGCGUAAAGAGCACGUAGGUGGUUUUUUUAAGUCAGAUGUGAAAUCCCCUGGGCUUAACCUGGAACUGCAUUUUGAAACUGAAAUACUAGAGUAUCGUAGAGGGAGGUAGAAUUCUAGGUGUAGCAGUGAAAUGCGUAGAUAUCUGGAGGAAUACCUGUGGCGAAAGCGGCCUCCUAAACGAAUACUGACACUGAGGUGCGAAAGCGUGGGGAGCAAACAGGGAUUAGAUACC
rnacentral:rRNA from 1 species